GAACAACAGUUGGAAACGACUGCUAAUACCGUAUACGCCCUACGGGGGAAAGAUUUAUCGGGGUAUGAUGAGCCCGCGUUGGAUUAGCUAGUUGGUGGGGUAAAGGCCUACCAAGGCGACGAUCCAUAGCUGGUCUGAGAGGAUGAUCAGCCACAUUGGGACUGAGACACGGCCCAAACUCCUACGGGAGGCAGCAGUGGGGAAUAUUGGACAAUGGGCGCAAGCCUGAUCCAGCCAUGCCGCGUGAGUGAUGAAGGUCUUAGGAUUGUAAAGCUCUUUCACCGACGAAGAUAAUGACGGUAGUCGGAGAAGAAGCCCCGGCUAACUUCGUGCCAGCAGCCGCGGUAAUACGAAGGGGGCUAGCGUUGUUCGG
rnacentral:rRNA from 1 species